rnacentral:rRNA from 1 species
CCUACGGGAGGCAGCAGUGGGGAAUCUUGGGCAAUGGAGGCAACUCUGACCCAGCAACGCCGCGUGAAUGAUGAAGGUCUUCGGAUUGUAAAGUUCUGUGAUGGGGGAGGAACACAAUGACGGUACCCCAAUAGCAAGCCACGGCUAACUACGUGCCAGCCACCGCGGUAAUACGUAGGUGGCAAACGUUAUCCGGAAGGAAUGGGCGUAAAGGGUGCGUAGGCGGUUUAGUAAGUUGGCGGUGAAAUUCCGGGGCUCAACCCCGGCGCUACCGCAAAAACUAUUAGACUGGAGUGCAGGAGGGGUAAGUGGAAUUCCUAGUGUAGCGGUGGAAUGCGUAGAUAUUAGGAGGAACAUCAGGGGCGAAGGCGACUUACUGGACUGUAAAUGACACUGAGGCACGAAAGCGUGGGGAGCAAACAGGAUUAGAUACCCUUGUAGUC